rnacentral:rRNA from 1 species
UACGAGUGCUCCAAGCGUUAUCCGGAAUCACUGGGCGUAAAGGGUGUGUAGGUGGUUGUAUUAGUCUCCCGUCAAAUUCUUCGGCUCAACCGGGGGCUCGCGGGGGAAACGGUACGACUUUGAGGAUGCGAGAGGUUUGUGGAACUCUAGGUGUAGGGGUGAAAUCCAUUGAUAUCUAGGGGAACACCGAAUGCGAAGGCAGCAAACUGGAGCAUUCCUGACACUGAAACACGAAAGCGUAGGUAGCGAAUGGG